rnacentral:rRNA from 1 species
GUGGGGAAUCUUAGACAAUGGGCGCAAGCCUGAUCUAGCCAUGCCGCGUGAGCGAUGAAGGCCUUAGGGUUGUAAAGCUCUUUCAGUGGGGAAGAUAAUGACUGUACCCACAGAAGAAGCCCCGGCUAACUCCGUGCCAGCAGCCGCGGUAAUACGGAGGGGGCUAGCGUUGUUCGGAAUUACUGGGCGUAAAGCGCACGUAGGCGGACUGGAAAGUCAGGGGUGAAAUCCCGGGGCUCAACCCCGGAACUGCCUUUGAAACUCCCAGUCUUGAGGUCGAGAGAGGUGAGUGGAAUUCCGAGUGUAGAGGUGAAAUUCGUAGAUAUUCGGAGGAACACCAGUGGCGAAGGCGGCUCACUGGCUCGAUACUGACGCUGAGGUGCGAAAGCGUGGGGAGCAAACAGGAUUAGAAACCCCGGUAGUCC